UGAACUCAGAUUUGUAUGCAGUUGGAACAGCGCCCCUAGCGGCAAACGUAGGCAAACGUUCCAAUUCCAUACAAAAUUGAGGUA
rnacentral:pre_miRNA from 1 species